rnacentral:rRNA from 1 species
AGCGUACACGGUGGAUGCCCUGGCAGUCAGAGGCGAUGAAGGACGUGCUAAUCUGCGAUAAGCGUCGGUAAGGUGAUAUGAACCGUUAUAACCGGCGAUUUCCGAAUGGGGAAACCCAGUGUGAUUCGUCACACUAUCAUUAACUGAAUCCAUAGGUUAAUGAGGCGAACCGGGGGAACUGAAACAUCUAAGUACCCCGAGGAAAAGAAAUCAACCGAGAUUCCCCCAGUAGCGGCGAGCGAACGGGGAGCAGCCCAGAGCCUGAAUCAGUGUGUGUGUUAGUGGAAGCGUCUGGAAAGGCGUGCGAUACAGGGUGACAGCCCCGUACACAAAAAUGCACAUACUGUGAGCUCGAUGAGUAGGGCGGGACACGUGGUAUCCUGUCUGAAUAUGGGGGGACCAUCCUCCAAGGCUAAAUACUCCUGACUGACCGAUAGUGAACCAGUACCGUGAGGGAAAGGCGAAAAGAACCCCGGCGAGGGGAGUGAAAAAGAACCUGAAACCGUGUACGUACAAGCAGUGGGAGCACGCUUAGGCGUGUGACUGCGUACCUUUUGUAUAAUGGGUCAGCGACUUAUAUUCUGUAGCAAGGUUAACCGAAUAGGGGAGCCGAAGGGAAACCGAGUCUUAACUGGGCGUUAAGUUGCAGGGUAUAGACCCGAAACCCGGUGAUCUAGCCAUGGGCAGGUUGAAGGUUGGGUAACACUAACUGGAGGACCGAACCGACUAAUGUUGAAAAAUUAGCGGAUGACUUGUGGCUGGGGGUGAAAGGCCAAUCAAACCGGGAGAUAGCUGGUUCUCCCCGAAAGCUAUUUAGGUAGCGCCUCGUGAAUUCAUCUCCGGGGGUAGAGCACUGUUUCGGCAAGGGGGUCAUCCCGACUUACCAACCCGAUGCAAACUGCGAAUACCGGAGAAUGUUAUCACGGGAGACACACGGCGGGUGCUAACGUCCGUCGUGAAGAGGGAAACAACCCAGACCGCCAGCUAAGGUCCCAAAGUCAUGGUUAAGUGGGAAACGAUGUGGGAAGGCCCAGACAGCCAGGAUGUUGGCUUAGAAGCAGCCAUCAUUUAAAGAAAGCGUAAUAGCUCACUGGUCGAGUCGGCCUGCGCGGAAGAUGUAACGGGGCUAAACCAUGCACCGAAGCUGCGGCAGCGACGCUUAUGCGUUGUUGGGUAGGGGAGCGUUCUGUAAGCCUGCGAAGGUGUGCUGUGAGGCAUGCUGGAGGUAUCAGAAGUGCGAAUGCUGACAUAAGUAACGAUAAAGCGGGUGAAAAGCCCGCUCGCCGGAAGACCAAGGGUUCCUGUCCAACGUUAAUCGGGGCAGGGUGAGUCGACCCCUAAGGCGAGGCCGAAAGGCGUAGUCGAUGGGAAACAGGUUAAUAUUCCUGUACUUGGUGUUACUGCGAAGGGGGGACGGAGAAGGCUAUGUUGGCCGGGCGACGGUUGUCCCGGUUUAAGCGUGUAGGCUGGUUUUCCAGGCAAAUCCGGAAAACUAAGGCUGAGGCGUGAUGACGAGGCACUACGGUGCUGAAGCAACAAAUGCCCUGCUUCCAGGAAAAGCCUCUAAGCAUCAGGUAACAUCAAAUCGUACCCCAAACCGACACAGGUGGUCAGGUAGAGAAUACCAAGGCGCUUGAGAGAACUCGGGUGAAGGAACUAGGCAAAAUGGUGCCGUAACUUCGGGAGAAGGCACGCUGAUAUGUAGGUGAAGUCCCUCGCGGAUGGAGCUGAAAUCAGUCGAAGAUACCAGCUGGCUGCAACUGUUUAUUAAAAACACAGCACUGUGCAAACACGAAAGUGGACGUAUACGGUGUGACGCCUGCCCGGUGCCGGAAGGUUAAUUGAUGGGGUUAGCGCAAGCGAAGCUCUUGAUCGAAGCCCCGGUAAACGGCGGCCGUAACUAUAACGGUCCUAAGGUAGCGAAAUUCCUUGUCGGGUAAGUUCCGACCUGCACGAAUGGCGUAAUGAUGGCCAGGCUGUCUCCACCCGAGACUCAGUGAAAUUGAACUCGCUGUGAAGAUGCAGUGUACCCGCGGCAAGACGGAAAGACCCCGUGAACCUUUACUAUAGCUUGACACUGAACAUUGAGCCUUGAUGUGUAGGAUAGGUGGGAGGCUUUGAAGUGUGGACGCCAGUCUGCAUGGAGCCGACCUUGAAAUACCACCCUUUAAUGUUUGAUGUUCUAACGUUGACCCGUAAUCCGGGUUGCGGACAGUGUCUGGUGGGUAGUUUGACUGGGGCGGUCUCCUCCUAAAGAGUAACGGAGGAGCACGAAGGUUGGCUAAUCCUGGUCGGACAUCAGGAGGUUAGUGCAAUGGCAUAAGCCAGCUUGACUGCGAGCGUGACGGCGCGAGCAGGUGCGAAAGCAGGUCAUAGUGAUCCGGUGGUUCUGAAUGGAAGGGCCAUCGCUCAACGGAUAAAAGGUACUCCGGGGAUAACAGGCUGAUACCGCCCAAGAGUUCAUAUCGACGGCGGUGUUUGGCACCUCGAUGUCGGCUCAUCACAUCCUGGGGCUGAAGUAGGUCCCAAGGGUAUGGCUGUUCGCCAUUUAAAGUGGUACGCGAGCUGGGUUUAGAACGUCGUGAGACAGUUCGGUCCCUAUCUGCCGUGGGCGCUGGAGAACUGAGGGGGCUGCUCCUAGUACGAGAGGACCGGAGUGGACGCAUCACUGGUGUUCGGGUUGUCAUGCCAAUGGCACUGCCCGGUAGCUAAAUGCGGAAGAGAUAAGUGCUGAAAGCAUCUAAGCACGAAACUUGCCCCGAGAUGAGUUCUCCCUGACUCCUUGA